rnacentral:rRNA from 1 species
AUUGAACGCUGGUGGCGUGCUUAACACAUGCAAGUCGAUCGGUAACGCGGGGGCAACCCUGGCGACGAGAGGCGGACGGGUGAGGAACGCUUGGGAAUCUGCCUAUCAGCGGGGGACAACACGGGGAAACUCGUGCUAAUACCGCAUACGCUCUACGGAGGAAAGCCGGGGACCGCAAGGCCUGGCACUGAUAGAUGAGCCCAAGCCGGAUUAGCUAGUUGGCGGGGUAACGGCUCACCAAGGCGACGAUCCGUAGCUGGUCUGAGAGGACGAUCAGCCACACUGGGACUGAGACGCGGCCCAGACUCCUACGGGAGGCAGCAGGGGGGAAUAGUGGACAAUGGGGGAAACCCUGAUCCAGCGACGCCGCGUGGGUGAAGAAGGCCUGCGGGUUGUAAAGCCCUUUCGGUAGGGACGAAAGCUCUCGACCUAACACGUCGGGAGGUUGACUUAACCUACAAAAGAAGCACCGGCUAACUCUGUGCCAGCCGCCGCCGUAAUAC